UUGGAGAUGAAAGCAAACCCAGCUCUACCUCUACCAUCCCCCCUCCCCAGUCACUCACAUACUAACAGUUAACUCCCCCUUCUCCCACUCCACUUUUCCCUUCUCCAGCACCCCCCCCCCCAUCUCCCAUUAACCCAAGAGCUAACUAGAUUCAGCUUUCCUUGGCGAUUUUUUCUUCCCCAAUGACUUGUCCCCUCAACUUGCUGGCUCGGGUUGAUGGGAAGCUUGAAAAGAGGACCAAGAAGGGUAGUGGGGAGAAAGCUGGAGAGACCACGGCGAAGGGACUCUUCUCUCCCUUCCUCCAACUCCGAAACUGCUACCAUCUCCAGCGGGGAAGAAAACGGCAAGAUCCCGAAGCCAGACAGACAUAUACUCGCUAGUUGUUGAGAAAGCGGAUCCUGCAGGCAGGCCAACCAUGAGCAAUACUUGCAUAACCUACUUCACAAGACAGUUCUGAACACAAGGUGAAGCAGCUAGGUGAAGGAGUGGUUGGAGUAAAAGGACAGAAGUUUAAAUUCUGCCUCACAUACUUACCAGCUGUGACUCUGGGUAAGUCACUUAAUCUUUCUCAGACUAUUUACACAUCUGUAAAAGGGGAAUGACCAUUUUGAUUACCUCAUGAGGUUUUUGUGAGGAUUGAAGAACAUGAUAUAGGUAAAGUCUUUUCAUAUCUUUAAAGCACUAUAUAAAUGCUAGAUAUUAUUAUGAAAACUGUAUAGAAAGGUGUUAUUGAAUUUCCACACAGUAAAUUACAUUUCCUAUAUGUAAUGAAAAGAACGUGAGGCAAGUUAGGAACCCCAAGUUCUCAUCCCAGGUUUUCUCCUAAUUGUUGUUUUUGGUAGUUUGUCACAUCCUACUUUUCAUGACCCCACUGGAGAUUUUCUUGGCCAAGAUAUUGGAGUGAUUUAUCAUUUCCUUCUCUAGCUCUUUAUGACCCCAUUCAGGGUUUUCUUGGUAAAGACACUGGAAUGGUUUCAUUCCAUCUCCAGCUCAUUUAACAGAUGAGUAAACUGAGGUAAACAGGGUUAAGCAACUUGCCAGUCACAUAGCUAGUAAAUGUUUUAGGCUACAUUUGAACUUAGGACUGACUCCAGUCCCAGUGCUGUAGCCGUUGUAGCACUUCAGUGCCACAAUUUGCUACUAAUUUAGCUAUGUGAUAUGUGGACAAGUUAUGUACACUUUCUGAUCCCCAGUUUUUUCAACUGUAAAAUGAGGGUGUUGGACUGGUUAACCUUUAACAUAAUGAAUCUCUCUAACAUUUAAUGAGUCUAAUAUUCCUGAAACAUCCCCAUUGAUUACUGUGAAGAACUCAAACUUUAAGCAAGUUUUGGAUUGUCUUUUGAUGAGUGCCUAGCAUCUCUCUUAGACAGUGGUUACUUUCAGUAAUGUCAUUUUAUACAAAGUGUAGCCUUAAGAG
rnacentral:lncRNA from 1 species